AAAUUGAAGAGUUUGAUCAUGGCUCAGAUUGAACGCUGGCGGCAGGCCUAACACAUGCAAGUCGAACGGUAACAGGAAUCAGCUUGCUGAUUCGCUGACGAGUGGCGGACGGGUGAGUAAUGUCUGGGAAACUGCCUGAUGGAGGGGGAUAACUACUGGAAACGGUAGCUAAUACCGCAUAAUGUCGCAAGACCAAAGAGGGGGACCUUCGGGCCUCUUGCCAUCGGAUGUGCCCAGAUGGGAUUAGCUUGUUGGUGAGGUAACGGCUCACCAAGGCGACGAUCCCUAGCUGGUCUGAGAGGAUGACCAGCCACACUGGAACUGAGACACGGUCCAGACUCCUACGGGAGGCAGCAGUGGGGAAUAUUGCACAAUGGGCGCAAGCCUGAUGCAGCCAUGCCGCGUGUAUGAAGAAGGCCUUCGGGUUGUAAAGUACUUUCAGCGGGGAGGAAGGGAGUAAAGUUAAUACCUUUGCUCAUUGACGUUACCCGCAGAAGAAGCACCGGCUAACUCCGUGCCAGCAGCCGCGGUAAUACGGAGGGUGCAAGCGUUAAUCGGAAUUACUGGGCGUAAAGCGCACGCAGGCGGUUUGUUAAGUCAGAUGUGAAAUCCCCGGGCUCAACCUGGGAACUGCAUCUGAUACUGGCAAGCUUGAGUCUCGUAGAGGGGGGUAGAAUUCCAGGUGUAGCGGUGAAAUGCGUAGAGAUCUGGAGGAAUACCGGUGGCGAAGGCGGCCCCCUGGACGAAGACUGACGCUCAGGUGCGAAAGCGUGGGGAGCAAACAGGAUUAGAUACCCUGGUAGUCCACGCCGUAAACGAUGUCGACUUGGAGGUUGUGCCCUUGAGGCGUGGCUUCCGGAGCUAACGCGUUAAGUCGACCGCCUGGGGAGUACGGCCGCAAGGUUAAAACUCAAAUGAAUUGACGGGGGCCCGCACAAGCGGUGGAGCAUGUGGUUUAAUUCGAUGCAACGCGAAGAACCUUACCUGGUCUUGACAUCCACGGAAGUUUUCAGAGAUGAGAAUGUGCCUUCGGGAACCGUGAGACAGGUGCUGCAUGGCUGUCGUCAGCUCGUGUUGUGAAAUGUUGGGUUAAGUCCCGCAACGAGCGCAACCCUUAUCCUUUGUUGCCAGCGGUCCGGCCGGGAACUCAAAGGAGACUGCCAGUGA
rnacentral:rRNA from 1 species